rnacentral:rRNA from 1 species
UACGUAGGGUGCAAGCGUUGUCCGGAAUUAUUGGGCGUAAAGAGCUCGUAGGUGGUUCGCUAAGUCGGAUGUGAAAACUCAGGGCUCAACCCCGAGACGCCAUCCGAUACUGGCGUGACUUGAGUCUGGUAGGGGAGAUCGGAAUUCCUGGUGUAGCGGUGAAAUGCGCAGAUAUCAGGAGGAACACCGGUGGCGAAGGCGGAUCUCUGGGCCAGUACUGACACUGAGGAGCGAAAGCGUGGGUAGCAAACAGG